CAGUCGAGCGGCAGCGGGAAGUAGCUUGCUACUUUGCCGGCGAGCGGCGGACGGGUGAGUAAUGUCUGGGAAACUGCCUGAUGGAGGGGGAUAACUACUGGAAACGGUAGCUAAUACCGCAUGACCUCGAAAGAGCAAAGUGGGGGAUCUUCGGACCUCACGCCAUCGGAUGUGCCCAGAUGGGAUUAGCUAGUAGGUGAGGUAAUGGCUCACCUAGGCGACGAUCCCUAGCUGGUCUGAGAGGAUGACCAGCCACACUGGAACUGAGACACGGUCCAGACUCCUACGGGAGGCAGCAGUGGGGAAUAUUGCACAAUGGGCGCAAGCCUGAUGCAGCCAUGCCGCGUG
rnacentral:rRNA from 1 species